AUGCGCCAGCACGCCCCCGCCUACACGCCGGAGGCGGCCUCCGCGUCGGCCACGGGUGGCGCGGGCGAGCGGCACAGCCUGCCGGCGCUGCAGGCCAAGAUGAAGCGCGACCCGGAGGGGUACGAGACGGAGCUCCGCCAGCUGCAGCGCCACUUCGAGUCCUCGGUGUUCCUCUUCCGGCAGCAGGCGGCGCUGUCGUCGUCCUCCUCGGGCGGCGGCGGCGGGGAGACGGCCAAGGAGCUCGGCGACCUUGCGCUCUUCCUCGCCCACGUCGCGCCCUUCUACCCCAACGACCUCGCCGACCUGCCCGACCACAUCGGGGGCCUGCUCGACACCAACGCCCGCGCGCUGCCGUCCGGCCUCCGGGUGCACCUCGUGCAGGCACUCAUACUGCUGGUCAAUCGGAAGAUUGUUGAUCUGGAAGACACCAUGGAGUUAUUUAUGGAGCUUCAAGUCAUUGGAGACCGAGCAGUAAAAAAGCUUGCAUUUUCACAUAUUGUACACAGCAUCAGAAGGAUGAAUCAGAAGCACAAGAAUGAAGCCAAGAAUCGUAAACUGCAAGGCAUCCUUUUUAAAUUAGUACAGGGCGAGGAAGAGUCGAGAGCAAAGAGGGCUUUUACUAUCCUAUGUGAUCUUCACCGUCGAAGGGUCUGGUUUGAUGACCGCACAGCAAAUGCUAUAUGCGAUGCUUGUUUCCAUCCCUCUUCGAGGCUUAUGACAGCUGCUAUUUCAUUACUCAUUGGGUAUGAAAAUGUUGAGCAAGAGGAUGAUAGUGAUGCCAGUAGUGAAGAUGAAGCAAGUCAAAACCCAAAUAUUAUACUUAGUAAAGAAGAUGUCUACAAGGCAAAUCACAAGGGUACCUCUGCUAGUAAGAAAAAGAAGAAAGCUAAAUUGGAGCGUGUAGUUCGUAGUAUGAAAAGGCAACAACGUAAAUCCAAUGAGGAGACUGGCUCCAAUUACUAUUCGCCCCUUACGUAUUUAAAGGAUCCCCAGGGUUUUGCAGAGAAACUCUUCUCUCGGCUACAGAAAUGCAAUGAACGAUUUGAGGUAAGGAUGAUGAUGUUGAAGGUCAUAGCAAGGACUAUUGGCCUGCAUCACUUGGUUUUGUUGAACUUCUAUCCAUAUCUUCAAAGAUAUGUUCAACCUCACCAACGAGAUGUGACUACUCUACUUGCUGCAGCAGUACAGGCUUGCCAUGAGAUGGUGCCUCCUGAUGCUGUUGAACCGCUGUUCAAGCAGAUAGUAAAUCAAUUUGUGCAUGAUCGUUCCCGUCCGGAGGCUAUUGCUGUUGGCCUGAAUGUUGUGAGAGAGAUCUGCAUGCGAAUUCCUUUGAUGAUGAAUGAGGAUCUACUCCAAGACCUUGUUUUAUAUAAGAAGUCCCACGAGAAAGCUGUUUCUAUUGCCGCUCGCUCACUUAUCACAUUAUUCAGGGAGAUCUGUCCUUCAUUGUUAGUCAAGAAAGAUCGUGGCCGUCCUAUUGAUCCAACUGCUCGGCCAAAAGCAUUUGGAGAAACCACUAUUGCUAGUGAUGUGCCUGGAGCUGAGUUGCUAGAUGAAGAGAUGUCACCAGAGGGGGGUUCAGACGAUGAGUCUGAUGCUUUUGAUUCCGAUGACGAGGAAGUGUUGCCAUCUGCGAGUGGUACCCGGCAAAGUUUGGAGAGUUUAUCAAACAAGCUUGAUGCUAGUGAAGAUCAUGAAGAUGAAGUAUCUGGGGAACAAGAUGAUGCAGAGGAACUAGACGAGGAUGUUGAAGACAGUGAUGAGGGGGAUAAAUCAAAGGGCAGCGGUUCCAAGGUGCAGAAGAGAAAGUUAAGUGAUUAUAUUGGACAACUUGAUGCUGCAGAUGCAAGCCUUCGAGCUCUGAAGAAGUUAGCAGGAGCUAAGAAGGCUGAAGCCUCAACAGAUGAAGCUGGCAGAAUUUUCGGCGAUGAAGAUUUUAAGCGCAUAAAAGAGCUCAAGGCAAAGAAAGCAGCAAAGUUGGCUUUGGUUCAACAUGGGCUCAGCAAGGGUGACACAAGAUCAGUGACCUUCAAACUUCCUUCUACUGAUGAGCUUAGCUUGAAGCGCGUUGAUCCAUCGGAGCUCGCGGCUCACGUCAAGAGAAAGAUGACCAAGGAAGAGAGAUUAGAGAUGGUGAAAGCUGGAAGGGAGGAUAGAGGAAAAUACCAAGCAAGAGCAGCUAUUAAACAGAAAAAGACGGGUGGCUCGAGCAAUAAGCAGAAACAGCACCAGAAGAGGAUGCCUCUGGCGGCAAAGAGAGCAAAGGCAGCGCGUUCUCGCCAGGAGAAGAAGACCAAAGCGAAGCACUCAGGAAAGCAGUUCAGGGGACGGAAGGCCUGGAAAUAA
rnacentral:rRNA from 1 species